CCCAGGCAGGGCAGACUCAGCAGCUCUCUGUAUCCAAGGGCUUGGGAUAGACAACCACACUCACCUGCACUGGGGACAGCAACAAUGUUGGCAAAGAUGGAGCUGUCUGGCCGCAGCAGCACCAGGGCCAUGCCCCCAAACACCUGAUCAACAGGAAAAACAGCCAACUCUCAGGGAUCUCAGAGAGAUUCCCUGGCUCCCGGUUAGGAACAUGGCAUCUCUGACCAUCUCUGGCCUCCAGACCAAGGACAAGCCUGCCUAUUACUGCUCAGCCUGGGACAGCAGCCUCAGUGCUCACACAGCGCCUCAGGGGAAGUGAGACGAA
rnacentral:lncRNA from 1 species